CAGUGGCAAGAAUUAUGGUACACAUCCCAAAUCUAAGCCAAUCUUUCUAAUAUCAUCUAUUCCUAGUUUACAAAUCAUAAAAAAAAUUGUAAUCAUCUCAAUCAUAAGAUCGAUUUUCAAAACUAGAUUCGCACCCCUGAUCUAAUACUCCGUACUCAUCUUGAUCCACAAGAUUGUUAAGUUGGAUUAGCGAGAAAUAAAAGAUGUUAGUCGGUCUUAUACUAAUCAUUUGAAUAUGAGGG
rnacentral:lncRNA from 1 species